UACCCAAUGACAUGUCUGCCACCGUCGUAGACGGCCUGGGAGACGAGGCCCAUGAGGCCAAUGCUGCCGCCGCCGUACACAAGGUCAAUGCCCCUCGCGACCUGCACGGAAACAACAACUCCUCAUCAUCAUCGUGCAGUGCAGCAGCAAAUUCGUUGCAGAGGCAACAAUGGGGCAGCAGAUUCAUGAUAUGCUGUUAAACAUAGAUGCAUGCUAUGAGAGAGUGUAGUUGUGUACCAGCUCUUUGGCGAGGUCGACGGCGGCAUCGCGGUAGGUGGUCUUGUUGCCCUGGCUACUGCCGCAGAACACGCAGGUCCUCUUGAACCUGCUCUCCUGCUGCUGCUGCUGCUGCUGCCUCAUUCUCCU
rnacentral:sRNA from 1 species